CGUCCUUAGUUCCACAUGCCCACCCCUAGGGUGAGAGAGAGAGAGAGUUCAGAGAAAGAGAGAAGUAGAAGGGAGAGAAAGAGUUCUCUCACUACAUCUCUUGUUCCUCUGAUUCUAUCCGAAAGGUGUUCAUGCAUAGAUCUUUAGAUCAUCUUCUACGAGAAUCGAAAAAGGAGAUCCAACUUGAAGAGGUGAGAUCUGAAAGAGUACUAACAUCUCGAUGAUUUUGAAGGCUUUUGAUCUACAUUAGCCCUAUGUGGAUACAUGUAGAGAUCAGACGC
rnacentral:lncRNA from 1 species